GGUCAAAGGGAUAAAUUAUACGGUAACUAUAUUCAAAUAGAUUCUUGAGUGUUACUUAGCAUACAUUCGGCCUAUCCAAACGUUGGGUACCAUUGCUAGAUGAUUACUCCGAUUGAUAUAAGAAUCAGUUCCUGUGCUACCGAUUUAGGUUCGAACGUAUGGGGUCAUACACAUUAGAAGUUUCUCUCCAAUCAUAUAGC
rnacentral:lncRNA from 1 species